UACGUAGGGUGCGAGCGUUGUCCGGAAUUAUUGGGCGUAAAGAGCUCGUAGGCGGUGUGUCGCGUCGGCCGUGAAAACCUGGGGCUCAACUCUGGGCGUGCGGUCGAUACGGGCAUCACUUGAGUUCGGCAGGGGAGACUGGAAUUCCUGGUGUAGCGGUGAAAUGCGCAGAUAUCAGGAGGAACACCGGUGGCGAAGGCGGGGUCUCUGGGCCGAUACUGACGCUGAGGAGCGAAAGCGUGGGGGAGCGAACAGG
rnacentral:rRNA from 1 species